rnacentral:rRNA from 1 species
UACAGAGGUCCCAAGCGUUGAUCGGAUUCACUGGGCGUAAAGGGUGCGUAGGUGGUCGGGUAAGUCUGAUGUGAAAGCUCUGGGCUCAACCCAGAAAUGGCAUUGGAUACUAUCUGGCUAGAGGAAUGGAGGGGGGACUGGAAUACUUGGUGUAGCAGUGAAAUGCGUAGAUAUCAAGUGGAACACCAGUGGCGAAGGCGAGUCCCUGGACAUUUCCUGACACUGAGGCACGAAAGCUAGGGGAGCAAACAGG